GAUGAACGCUGGCGGCGUGCCUAACACAUGCAAGUCGAGCGAUGAAGUUUCCUUCGGGAAACGGAUUAGCGGCGGACGGGUGAGUAACACGUGGGCAACCUACCUCAUAGAGGGGAAUAGCCUUCCGAAAGGGAGAUUAAUACCGCAUAACAUUUUUGAUUGGCAUCAAUCGAAAAUCAAAGGAGCAAUCCGCUAUGAGAUGGGCCCGCGUCGCAUUAGUUAGUUGGUGGGGUAAAGGCCUACCAAGACGACGAUGCGUAGCCGACCUGAGAGGGUGAUCGGCCACAUUGGGACUGAGACACGGCCCAGACUCCUACGGGAGGCAGCAGUGGGGAAUAUUGCACAAUGGAGGAAACUCUGAUGCAGCAACGCCGCGUGAGCGAUGAAGGUCUUCGGAUCGUAAAGCUCUGUCUUUAGGGAUGAUAAUGACAGUACCUAAGGAGGAAGCCACGGCUAACUACG
rnacentral:rRNA from 1 species